rnacentral:rRNA from 1 species
CAGCCGCCACGGUAAUACGAAGGGGGCUAGCGUUGUUCGGAUUUACUGGGCGUAAAGCGCACGUAGGCGGACUUUUAAGUCAGGGGUGAAAUCCCGGGGCUCAACCCCGGAACUGCCUUUGAUACUGGGAGUCUUGAGUUCGAGAGAGGUGAGUGGAAUUGCGAGUGUAGAGGUGAAAUUCGUAGAUAUUCGCAGGAACACCAGUGGCGAAGGCGGCUCACUGGCUCGAUACUGACGCUGAGGUGCGAAAGCGUGGGGAGCAAACAGGAUUAGAUACCCCCGUAGUCCCUGUCUCUUAUAC